ACUCCUACGGGAGGCAGCAGUGAGGAAUAUUGCACAAUGGGGGCAACCCUGAUGCAGCGACGCCGCGUGGAUGAUGAAGGCCUUCGGGUUGUAAAGUCCUUUUGCCACUGACGAGAACGGACGGUAGGUGGCGAAUAAGCCCCGGCUAACUACGUGCCAGCAGCCGCGGUAAAACGUAGGGGGCGAGCGUUAUCCGGAGUUACUGGGCGUAAAGGGUGUGUAGGCGGUGCUAUAAGUGGGGUGUGAAACACUCAGGCUAAACCUGGGAGGUGCGCCUCAGACUGUAGGACUAGAGUGGGAUAGAGGGGCGUGGAAUUCCGGGUGGAGCGGUGAAAUGUGUAGAGAUCCGGAGGAACACCAGAGGCGCAAGCGGCGCCCUGGGUCCCAACUGACGCUGAAACACGAAAGCUUGGGGAGCGAACGGGAUUAGAGACCCCGGUAGUCCAAGCCGUAAACGAUGCAGACUCGGUGUCCACCUUCGCAAGAGGGGGGGCGCCACAGCUAACGCGAUAAGUCUGCCGCCUGGGGAGUACGGUCGCAAGACU
rnacentral:rRNA from 1 species